rnacentral:rRNA from 1 species
UUGACCUCGAAUCAGGUAGGAAUACCCGCUGAACUUAAGCAUAUCAAUAAGCGGAGGAAAAGAAACCAACAGGGAUUGCCCCAGUAACGGCGAGUGAAGCGGCAACAGCUCAAAUUUGAAAUCUGGCUCUCGGGCCCGAGUUGUAAUUUGUAGAGGAUGCUUUUGGUGAGGUGCCUUCCGAGUUCCCUGGAACGGGACGCCAUAGAGGGUGAGAGCCCCGUCUGGUUGGACMCCGAUCCUCUGUAAAGCUCCUUCGACGAGUCGAGUAGUUUGGGAAUGCUGCUCUAAAUGGGAGGUAUAUGUCUUCUAAAGCUAAAUACCGGCCAGAGACCGAUAGCGCACAAGUAGAGUGAUCGAAAGAUGAAAAGAACUUUGAAAAGAGAGUUAAACAGUACGUGAAAUUGUUGAAAGGGAAGCGCUUGUGACCAGACUUGGGCUUGGUUGAUCAUCCGGGGUUCUCCCCGGUGCACUCUUCCGGCCCAGGCCAGCAUCAGUUCGCCCUGGGGGACAAAGGCUUCGGGAAUGUGGCUCUCUCCGGGGAGUGUUAUAGCCCGUUGCGUAAUACCCUGUGGCGGACUGAG